rnacentral:misc_RNA from 1 species
GAUGAAGAACGCAGCGAAAUGCGAUACGUAAUGUGAAUUGCAGAAUUCAGUGAAUCAUCGAAUCUUUGAACGCAUAUUGCGCUCUCUGGUAUUCCGGAGAGCAUGCUUGUUUGAGUAUCAGUAAACACCUCAACUUCCAUAUCUUUUUUGAAAUGGGAGUUGGACUUGAGUGAUCCCAACGCUUUUCCUCACCGAAAAGUGGCGGGUUACUUGAAAUGCAGGUGCAGCUGGACUUUUCUCUGAGCUAUAAGCAUAUCUAUUUAGUCUGCCUAAAAAACAGAUUAUUACCUUUGCUGCAGCUAACAUAAAGGAGAUUAGUUCUUGUGCUGACUGAUGCAGGAUUCACAAAGACAGGCUUCGGCCGACUUUGUAAACUCGAUCUCAAAUCAAGUAAGACUACCCGCCGAACUUAAGCAUAUCAAUAAGCGGAGGA